rnacentral:rRNA from 1 species
UACGAAGGGGGCGAGCGUUGUUCGGAAUUACUGGGCGUAAAGCGCACGCAGGCGGUCUCUUAAGUUUGGAGUGACAGUUGGUGGCUUAACUGCCAAAGUGCUUCGAAAACUGAGAGACUUGAGGGCUUCAGAGGGACACGGAAUUCCGGGUGGAGUGGUGAAAUGCGUAGAGAUCCGGAGGAACACCAAAGGCGAAGGCAGUGUCCUGGGGAGUACCUGACGCUCAGGUGCGAAAGCCAGGGGAGCGAACGGG